GACGAACGCGGCGGCGUGCCUAAUACAUGCAAGUCGAGCGGACAGAUGGGAGCUUGCUCCCUGAUGUUAGCGGCGGACGGGUGAGUAACACGUGGGUAACCUGCCUGUAAGACUGGGAUAACUCCGGGAAACCGGGGCUAAUACCGGAUGGUUGUUUGAACCGCAUGGUUCAAACAUAAAAGGUGGCUUCGGCUACCACUUACAGAUGGACCCGCGGCGCAUUAGCUAGUUGGUGAGGUAAUGGCUCACCAAGGCAACGAUGCGUAGCCGACCUGAGAGGGUGAUCGGCCACACUGGGACUGAGACACGGCCCAGACUCCUACGGGAGGCAGCAGUAGGGAAUCUUCCGCAAUGGACGAAAGUCUGACGGAGCAACGCCGCGUGAGUGAUGAAGGUUUUCGGAUCGUAAAGCUCUGUUGUUAGGGAAGAACAAGUACCGU
rnacentral:rRNA from 1 species